rnacentral:rRNA from 1 species
GAUGAACACUGGCGGCGUGCCUAAUACAUGCAAGUCGAGCGAACAGAUGAGGAGCUUGCUCCUCUGACGUUAGCGGCGGACGGGUGAGUAACACGUGGAUAACCUACCUAUAAGACUGGGAUAACUUCGGGAAACCGGAGCUAAUACCGGAUAAUAUAUUGAACCGCAUGGUUCAAUAGUGAAAGACGGUUUUGCUGUCACUUAUAGAUGGAUCCGCGCCGCAUUAGCUAGUUGGUAAGGUAACGGCUUACCAAGGCAACGAUGCGUAGCCGACCUGAGAGGGUGAUCGGCCACACUGGAACUGAGACACGGUCCAGACUCCUACGGGAGGCAGCAGUAGGGAAUCUUCCGCAAUGGGCGAAAGCUUGACGGAGCAACGCCGCGUGAGUGAUGAAGGUCUUCGGAUCGUAAAACUCUGUUAUUAGGGAAGAACAAAUGUGUAAGUAACUAUGCACGUCUUGACGGUACCUAAUCAGAAAGCCACGGCUAACUACGUG